rnacentral:rRNA from 1 species
UACGGGGGGGGUAAGCGUUGUUCGGAAUUACUGGGCGUAAAGGGUCUGUAGGUGGCUUGCUAAGUCAGACGUGAAAUCCCUCAGCUUAACUGGGGAACUGCGUCUGAGACUGGCGAGCUUGAGUGCAGGAGAGGAACGCGGAAUUCCAGGUGUAGCGGUGAAAUGCGUAGAUAUCGGGAGGAACACCAGUGGCGAAGGCGACUUCCUGGCCUGUUCUUGACGCUGAGGCGCGAAAGCUAGGGUAGCAAACGGG